CACGUAGGGCGCAAGCGUUGUCCGGAAUUAUUGGGCGUAAAGAGCUCGUAGGCGGUCUGUUGCGUCCGCUGUGAAAACUCGGGGCUUAACCCCGAGCCUGCAGUGGAUACGGGCAGACUAGAGGUAGGUAGGGGAGAAUGGAAUUCCCGGUGUAGCGGUGAAAUGCGCAGAUAUCGGGAGGAACACCGGUGGCGAAGGCGGUUCUCUGGGGCCUUACCUGACGCUGAGGAGCGAAAGCGUGGGGAGCGAACAGG
rnacentral:rRNA from 1 species